rnacentral:rRNA from 1 species
UGCAAGUCGAGCGGACAGAUGGGAGCUUGCUCCCUGAUGUUAGCGGCGGACGGGUGAGUAACACGUGGGUAACCUGCCUGUAAGACUGGGAUAACUCCGGGAAACCGGGGCUAAUACCGGAUGCUUGAUUGAACCGCAUGGUUCAAUUAUAAAAGGUGGCUUUUAGCUACCACUUACAGAUGGACCCGCGGCGCAUUAGCUAGUUGGUGAGGUAACGGCUCACCAAGGCAACGAUGCGUAGCCGACCUGAGAGGGUGAUCGGCCACACUGGGACUGAGACACGGCCCAGACUCCUACGGGAGGCAGCAGUAGGGAAUCUUCCGCAAUGGACGAAAGUCUGACGGAGCAACGCCGCGUGAGUGAUGAAGGUUUUCGGAUCGUAAAACUCUGUUGUUAGGGAAGAACAAGUACCGUUCGAAUAGGGCGGUACCUUGACGGUACCUAACCAGAAAGCCACGGCUAACUACGUGCCANCAG